rnacentral:misc_RNA from 1 species
AAGGAUCAUUAUCGUAGGGCUUCGGCCCUGUCGAGAUAGAACCCUUGCCUUUUUGAGUACCUUUCUGUUUCCUCGGCAGGCUCGCCUGCCAAUGGGGACCCCAAUAAACACUUUGUAGUACCUGUAACUGUCUGAAAAACAAACAAAUAAUUAAAACUUUCAACAACGGAUCUCUUGGUUCUG